GAUGUAUUACUAAGUCGGUAGAGCACCUGACUUUUAAUCAGGGUGUCCCGCGUUCGAGUCGCGGAUAGAUCACCA
rnacentral:tRNA from 1 species